rnacentral:rRNA from 1 species
AGCAGUCGCCGCGGUAACACGAAGGGUGCAAGCGUUACUCGGAAUUACUGGGCGUAAAGCGUGCGUAGGUGGUGGUUUAAGUCCGUUGUGAAAGCCCUGGGCUCAACCUGGGAAUUGCAGUGGAUACUGGCUCGCUAGAGUGUGUCAGAGGAUGGUGGAAUUCCCGGUGUAGCGGUGAAAUGCGUAGAGAUCGGGAGGAACAUCAGUGGCGAAGGCGGCCAUCUGGGACAACACUGACGCUGAGGCACGAAAGCGUGGGGAGCAAACAGGAUUAGAUACCCGAGUAGUCCCUGUCUCUUAUAC